GCAAAAACAAAGAAGGAAGUGCACAUAAUGGAAUCAGCAGCGGAAGCACUUAGAAGUGAGCUCCGGUUUUUCGCUUCGAACACCUCAGAGAAGGGAAUUCUUUGUAUCACUUCGUAAUACAACAUCAAGACGCACACCACAAAUAGGGAGAGGAGCUCGGCCAAACAUCUAACAGAAGUAUACCCGCCAAAUAUCAGAAAACGAGGAAAAAAAAAAUUAGAUAACCGAAAAAAAUCAUAACCAAAAAAAUCAGAUAACCGAAAAAAAAAUCAGUUAACCAAUGGGCACCGCCACUUCUACCCGGAAUGUGUCGCAAUAAAAUCACUAUUUGAGGGAAAGUCCGAGCUAAAAACAAAUCUCCAGAGCUCUGUCAAUAAGCCACCUAACUCCACCACCUGAGCAGUGUCGUAUAAUACAAUAAACACAACUUGGGGCCUAGAUUACAGAAUUUACAACCACAGGCUGUCACUUCAACAACUUUCCCGAAAAUGUAUGCGAACUAAUUUAUGCUGUACCAAUAACAAACACGCAAA